rnacentral:rRNA from 1 species
GUCCCGGCUGUAAACGGUGCACGUUUGCUGUAGGAGGAAUCGACCCCUUCUGUGGCGAAGCUAACGCGAUAAACGUGCCGCCUGGGGAGUACGGUCGCAAGAUUAAAACUCAAAGAAAUUGACGGGGGCCGUGCACAAGCGGUGGAGUAUGUGGCUUAAUUCGAUGCAACGCGAAGAACCUUACCUGGCCUUGACAUGCAUUUGGUAGAACCAUGAAAGUGGGACGACCCCGCAAGGGGAGGAUGCACAGGUGCUGCAUGGCUGUCGU